UGGGGAAUUUUGGACAAUGGGCGCAAGCCUGAUCCAGCCAUGCCGCGUGAGUGAAGAAGGCCUUCGGGUUGUAAAGCUCUUUCGGCAGGAACGAAGUGGUUCGUGCUAAUACCACGGACUGAUGACGGUACCUGAAGAAGAAGCACCGGCUAACUACGUGCCAGCAGCCGCGGUAAUACGUAGGGUGCAGGCGUUAAUCGGAAUUACUGGGCGUAAAGCGUGCGUAGGCGGUUUCUUAAGUCAGAUGUGAAAGCCCCGGGCUUAACCUGGGAACUGCGUUUGAAACUGGGAGACUUGAGUGUGGCAGAGGGGGGUGGAAUUCCACGUGUAGCAGUGAAAUGCGUAGAUAUGUGGAGGAACACCGAUGGCGAAGGCAGCCCCCUGGGUUAACACUGACGCUCAUGCACGAAAGCGUGGGGAGCAAACAGGAUUAGAUACCCUGGUAGUCCACGCCCUAAACUAUGUCAACUGGUUGUCGGGGGAUUAACUCCCUUGGUAACGAAGCUAACGCGUGAAGCUGACCGCCUGGGGAGUACGGCCGCAAGGUUA
rnacentral:rRNA from 1 species